rnacentral:misc_RNA from 1 species
AUUCACUCCUCAUCUUCUUCCUCUUAUUUUCUCCUCUUCCUCUUCUACUCCAACCACUCUUCAGCUCCAACCACUCUUGUCUUCAGCAGCACCGCCAGGCGCCAGGCGCCAUCCACAACAAGGGAAGCAGCAGCCAGCCGCCGCCCGCCAGCAGCACAGCAGCAACCAGCCGCCAGCCGCGACAGCACUCAGCAGCAGCCAGCCGCCGGACGUGCAGCAGUCAGCCGCCGGACGUGCAGCAGUCAGCCGCCGGACGUGCAGCAGU